rnacentral:rRNA from 1 species
UAGGGAAUCUUCGGCAAUGGGGGGAACCCUGACCGAGCAACGCCGCGUGAGUGAAGAAGGUUUUCGGAUCGUAAAGCUCUGUUGUUAAGGAAGAACGAGUGUGAGAAUGGAAAGUUCAUGCUGUGACGGUACUUAACCAGAAAGGGACGGCUAAAUACGUGCCAGCAGCCGCGGUAAUACGUAUGGAGCGAGCGUUGUCCGGAAUUAUUGGGCGUAAAGGGUACGCAGGCGGUUUAAUAAGUCGAAUGUUAAAGAUCGGGGCUCAACCCCGUAAAGCAUUGGAAACUGAUAAACUUGAGUAGUGGAGAGGAAAGUGGAAUUCCUAGUGUAGUGGUGAAAUACGUAGAUAUUAGGAGGAAUACCAGUAGCGAAGGCGACUUUCUGGACACAAACUGACGCUGAGGUACGAAAGCGUGGGGAGCGAACAGG